UAAGGGCGCACGGUGGAUGCCUUGGCACUAGAAGCCGAUGAAGGACGUUACUAACGACGAUAUGCUUUGGGGAGCUGUAAGUAAGCUUUGAUCCAGAGAUUUCCGAAUGGGGAAACCCAGCAUGAGUUAUGUCAUGUUAUCGAUAUGUGAAUACAUAGCAUAUCAGAAGGCACACCCGGAGAACUGAAACAUCUUAGUACCCGGAGGAAGAGAAAGAAAAUUCGAUUCCCUUAGUAGCGGCGAGCGAAACGGGAAGAGCCCAAACCAACAAGCUUGCUUGUUGGGGUUGUAGGACACUCUAUACGGAGUUACAAAGGACGACAUUAGACGAAUCAUCUGGAAAGAUGAAUCAAAGAAGGUAAUAAUCCUGUAGUCGAAAAUGUUGUCUCUCUUGAGUGGAUCCUGAGUACGACGGAGCACGUGAAAUUCCGUCGGAAUCUGGGAGGACCAUCUCCUAAGGCUAAAUACUCUCUAGUGACCGAUAGUGAACCAGUACCGUGAGGGAAAGGUGAAAAGCACCCCGGAAGGGGAGUGAAAUAGAACCUGAAACCGUGUGCUUACAAGUAGUCAGAGCCCGUUAAUGGGUGAUGGCGUGCCUUUUGUAGAAUGAACCGGCGAGUUACGAUUUGAUGCAAGGUUAAGCAGUAAAUGUGGAGCCGUAGCGAAAGCGAGUCUGAAUAGGGCGUUUAGUAUUUGGUCGUAGACCCGAAACCAGGUGAUCUACCCUUGGUCAGGUUGAAGUUCAGGUAACACUGAAUGGAGGACCGAACCGACUUACGUUGAAAAGUGAGCGGAUGAACUGAGGGUAGCGGAGAAAUUCCAAUCGAACCUGGAGAUAGCUGGUUCUCUCCGAAAUAGCUUUAGGGCUAGCCUCAAGUGAUGAUUAUUGGAGGUAGAGCACUGUUUGGACGAGGGGCCCCUCUCGGGUUACCGAAUUCAGACAAACUCCGAAUGCCAAUUAAUUUAACUUGGGAGUCAGAACAUGGGUGAUAAGGUCCGUGUUCGAAAGGGAAACAGCCCAGACCACCAGCUAAGGUCCCAAAAUAUAUGUUAAGUGGAAAAGGAUGUGGCGUUGCCCAGACAACUAGGAUGUUGGCUUAGAAGCAGCCAUCAUUUAAAGAGUGCGUAAUAGCUCACUAGUCGAGUGACACUGCGCCGAAAAUGUACCGGGGCUAAACAUAUUACCGAAGCUGUGGAUUGUCCUUUGGACAAUGGUAGGAGAGCGUUCUAAGGGCGUUGAAGCAUGAUCGUAAGGACAUGUGGAGCGCUUAGAAGUGAGAAUGCCGGUGUGAGUAGCGAAAGACGGGUGAGAAUCCCGUCCACCGAUUGACUAAGGUUUCCAGAGGAAGGCUCGUCCGCUCUGGGUUAGUCGGGUCCUAAGCUGAGGCCGACAGGCGUAGGCGAUGGAUAACAGGUUGAUAUUCCUGUACCACCUAUAAUCGUUUUAAUCGAUGGGGGGACGCAGUAGGAUAGGCGAAGCGUGCGAUUGGAUUGCACGUCUAAGCAGUAAGGCUGAGUAUUAGGCAAAUCCGGUACUCGUUAAGGCUGAGCUGUGAUGGGGAGAAGACAUUGUGUCUUCGAGUCGUUGAUUUCACACUGCCGAGAAAAGCCUCUAGAUAGAAAAUAGGUGCCCGUACCGCAAACCGACACAGGUAGUCAAGAUGAGAAUUCUAAGGUGAGCGAGCGAACUCUCGUUAAGGAACUCGGCAAAAUGACCCCGUAACUUCGGGAGAAGGGGUGCUCUUUAGGGUUAACGCCCAGAAGAGCCGCAGUGAAUAGGCCCAAGCGACUGUUUAUCAAAAACACAGGUCUCUGCUAAACCGUAAGGUGAUGUAUAGGGGCUGACGCCUGCCCGGUGCUGGAAGGUUAAGAGGAGUGGUUAGCUUCUGCGAAGCUACGAAUCGAAGCCCCAGUAAACGGCGGCCGUAACUAUAACGGUCCUAAGGUAGCGAAAUUCCUUGUCGGGUAAGUUCCGACCCGCACGAAAGGCGUAACGAUUUGGGCACUGUCUCAACGAGAGACUCGGUGAAAUCAUAGUACCUGUGAAGAUGCAGGUUACCCGCGACAGGACGGAAAGACCCCGUGGAGCUUUACUGUAGCCUGAUAUUGAAAUUCGGCACAGCUUGUACAGGAUAGGUAGGAGCCUUUGAAACGUGAGCGCUAGCUUACGUGGAGGCGCUGGUGGGAUACUACCCUAGCUGUGUUGGCUUUCUAACCCGCACCACUUAUCGUGGUGGGAGACAGUGUCAGGCGGGCAGUUUGACUGGGGCGGUCGCCUCCUAAAAGGUAACGGAGGCGCUCAAAGGUUCCCUCAGAAUGGUUGGAAAUCAUUCAUAGAGUGUAAAGGCAUAAGGGAGCUUGACUGCGAGACCUACAAGUCGAGCAGGGUCGAAAGACGGACUUAGUGAUCCGGUGGUUCCGCAUGGAAGGGCCAUCGCUCAACGGAUAAAAGCUACCCCGGGGAUAACAGGCUUAUCUCCCCCAAGAGUUCACAUCGACGGGGAGGUUUGGCACCUCGAUGUCGGCUCAUCGCAUCCUGGGGCUGUAGUCGGUCCCAAGGGUUGGGCUGUUCGCCCAUUAAAGCGGUACGCGAGCUGGGUUCAGAACGUCGUGAGACAGUUCGGUCCCUAUCCGUCGUGGGCGUAGGAAAUUUGAGAGGAGCUGUCCUUAGUACGAGAGGACCGGGAUGGACAUACCUCUGGUGUACCAGUUGUCGUGCCAACGGCAUAGCUGGGUAGCUAUGUGUGGACGGGAUAAGUGCUGAAAGCAUCUAAGCAUGAAGCCCCCCUCAAGAUGAGAUUUCCCAACUUCGGUUAUAAGAUCCCU
rnacentral:rRNA from 1 species